GUGUUGAUAAAGGUUCAAGUUUGGGGUUGUUGGGGGAAAUUGAAAGGCAAAAGAAAGGCAUUGAGCUCAAGUGUUGAAUGAAAAAAGCAUGAGAAAAGAAAGAAAAAAAAAUAAAAAGCAUGAAAGGUGAGCUCAAUGUAAAAGAAAAGAAAAAGGGGAAAGUUUGGAAUGAGUGAGAUUGGUAAAAAGAGAGUUUGUGCUUGAACUAUGAUUGUGAGAAUAACUCUCUUAACUCAAGGAUUUUGUGAUCUGAAAAACCAAUGUUUCUUGUUAGCCCAACCAUAUUAUAAGC
rnacentral:lncRNA from 1 species